CAUUGAAAUGAUGGCAUAUCAUCGUUCAGGACUGCAGUGGAGAACUACUUUUAGUCUCACUGAUCACUC